rnacentral:misc_RNA from 1 species
AAGUCGUAACAAGGUUUCCGUAGGUGAACCUGCGGAAGGAUCAUUAUCACGUAUCCACGUAUAAACCAUUGUGAACCGUUCUAAACCUCUAAGAUGAGUGAGCCAGUUGUAUAUCAAACAUUUUAAGCGGUCUUCUUGUGAUUAAACCGUGGUUUGGUAUGCCACAGUCGUUUAUCUCCGGAUUUCGAUUGUACUUGCUUAUUUUAGAGUGUAUUUCUUAAUCACUAUCUAUUAACCAUUUUAACCCAAUCUUUAUAACUUAUUGAACUAAUUUUAUUUCUUACUCUCCGGAGAAGAAAUUCAUUACGAAACAAAGAACAACUCUUAGCAACGGAUAUCUUGGUUCUCGUAACGAUGAAGACGCAGC